rnacentral:rRNA from 1 species
AUUUGACCUCAAAUGCAGGUAGGAAGUA